rnacentral:misc_RNA from 1 species
AUUUGAUUCACCAAAACAAUUGAAUAGUUGAAUAACCAAACUUUAUAAAGACCAAUGUUCAUCUUGUCCAAGCAGAAGAAAAAUAAACAAAAGAUCGAGCACUACUGAAACGAAGGGAAAUGAGAUGUCAAUUAAGCACGUUCGCCACGGAUGCGACGUGCAAGCUGGAUGUCCUUCGGCAUGAUCGUCACACGCUUGGCAUGAAUGGCGCACAGGUUGGUGUCCUCGAAGAGACCAACAAGGUAUGCCUCCGCAGCCUCCUGGAGGGCAAGGACAGCAUGGCUCUGGAAACGCAGA